UUCUAAUGCAUGGAUUUAAAAAAUAUCUGCUUUAGAAUCAGAAAGCCAGUUACCUAGCCUCAUAAAUGCAUGUAAAGAUUUUGUUCCAAAUCAUUUGGUCUAGCAGAUUUUUAACUCUGAAAAAAGUGACGGAAUUCGUCAAAACAGGCACGAAAAUGAGUGAUUUUCAGACGUGAAUAUCUUAUUCAAUCUUCGAUGUAAAUUCGUGUUCUUGGUCUCAUUCUAUAGGUAAAACCUUUCUAGUUUUAUGAUAAUUGUGUCAUAAUUUACAAUCUUGGAGAAAGACUUAAUUUCUAGCUCAGAAAUGACACACCACGGUAAACAACAAAAUGGCCGCUCCGUGACAACAAAGGUACAUGUUUGGGCGAUAAUUCUGCAAAAAGUAAACAAGAUACGCAACUGACAAUUUGAUACCACAAAGACAAAUGUCUCCGCUUUACAAUGAGACCAUUUUCGGCUUUCUGCGAUCAGAAUUGACUUCAAAACAUCGAUUUCAAAUUGCCCUGUCGUUCACCAUCUCCGAACUUUUUCUGGAAACCCAAGUCUAAAAUUAGACCGUAUUUUCCGAAAUCUGGGCGGUGACCUGGGUCACGUGGGGUCAAACGUGAGGUCAAACUAGGUUCAGCAAGGAGCGGGAGUAAUGGCUUUGCGCGCGAACGUAUUUCUGUGGAAUAAAAUCAUUUUCUUGUGCUUGCAGAUGGAGGGAGCUGAACAAUCUUUGUGACAAAUUACAUCUCAGAAUGUCUGCCGUCGAAAACUACCAAGGAUGGACUGGGAUGGCAAUAACAGGAGACAAAAUCUGCAUGCAAAGCACUGUGAUGUGAUUUGUACAGGCCAAGAUGUCUCAAGUUUUACAACCAAUCAACCAUAUUGAAGUUUUGUGUGACAGAUUUUCCACAGCAAAAAAAUAAGAGCAUUGUUGUGAAGUGGUGACCUGCCAAAGAUGUUACAGCAGUGGUGUGUGACAAUUUCCUACAGUAGAAUUAUGGAAAGAUAAUCAGGUAUUCAUUUUCAACAAUAUGCACAGCUAGAUUAAAUUUCAAGAAGUACAACACCAUGUUAAUUUAAUGUUAUAGCUUGCAUUUUUUGUGAUAAAUUAUCUAGGACUUGGUACUUUCAAAAUGUAUUUCAGUCUGUUAAAGAUAUUCAUUUCUGUUUCAGGCUGCUCACAGUGUUGUCUACAUUUUUGAUGACAGAACAGUGAUGUGUGCUUUUUAUUUUCGAAGAAGCAAAGAGAUAGACUCUGAUGUAUUUCGUAUUAACGUGUAUUGUUUUCUUCUGUUGAUAUCUGCCCGUACAAGAGGCAAUGCCCGUAAAAGAGGCACUACUAUUGCUUGAGUUUGCUUUUUCAUUUAUCAAUAGUAACAACAGUCACUGUAGAAAAGUACUCCGAGAUGAAGGUUUGGUGUGUUUGUCUGUAUCAUGAGUCUUAUAGCCUCUCCUGUCUGUCCGAAUUUAUACUAUGCCGACUUGUUUGCCGGGUACACUGUCCAUACCCAAUACUAAAAGAUAAGGGUAUUCACCAGUGUGAAUGAACAAGUUCACUCACGCUGGUUGUACCUUUGCUUAUUUAGUGUACUUAUCAGACAAGUUUGGCCUUUAACAUCUCGGAGAAAUAUCAUACAUCAAGUAAGGAUCGUUGGCAAAUACAACGUGACACGUUAGGAAAAAUACAGUCAAACUGAAAAACUUUUCAUAGAAUCUUACUUUUGAGAUAUUAGAUAAGGCGGAUAGUACUUCGAAAUUUCAACACGUUGUAAAAAAAACUGAUUUCUGAAAUACAACAUGACACGUUAGGAAAAAUACAGUCAAAUUGAAAAACUUCUCAUAGAAUAUUACUUGUGAGAUAUUAGAUAAGGCGUAUAGUACUUCGAAAUUUCAACACGUUGUGAAACAAAACUCAUUUCUGACUGAUCAUUUUUGCUUUCCUGAACGUCUCAUUUUUUGUAUUUGCCACGAGCCUUUAUAUCCAGCUACAUGCCAUUGCAUCGAAAUGCAGACAAACCUCUGAUACUCUUUUUACAAUGCAUCGUCUCAAUGCAAAUAAAGCGAUAACUCUUACAUACGUAAGAAUGACAGAGUUACCUCUUUUAGAAAUAAAACCUGCAAAAAGA